AAAUGCUAAUGAAGAGGAACUGUGGGAAUCAAGGCAAAAUCUGGAAGACCAAGAACACUCUCAGAUCAAAUUGCCCAUGUGCUGUGCAGAAAGAUAAAUCCUUUCUGCCAUUCCAUGUAUCAGGCCACAUCCCACUGUGAAUAAAUAGAAAUGCUGCAAACCCCCCACUCCACAUGCCUCUUGAAGCCUUACUCAAACACGCACACACUUAUACACUUACACGCAGAGAAAAACAACUGGAAGAUGAAAUUGACUGUGCCUACUGGUGUAUCCAAUGCACCCACAUACCUAGCUUGGUCCAUCUUGAACACAAUAUUCUGCUGUACUCCUCUUGGAAUCAUCGCCAUUGUGUUCUCCUGCCGAACUGACUCGGCUAAUCUUAUUGGUGAUGCUGCGAGAGCUAAUGCGCAUUCCAGUUUGGCCAAGAAACUGAAUAUCGCCGCACUGGUCAUCGGAAUAAUAUUUUUCAUCAUUUCCAUCAUCAUUACAUCAUUGUAUCUACAGACCUAACGACACAUUACAAGGCAGUGGAUCCAAAUCAUACUCCCUAUUAUGGUUAUAUAAGUGUCAUAGUAAAUGUAAACACUCUCUGUAAUUAACAAGGUGUUUGUUUGAUUGUUUGUUUUAUUCCAUUUCAUUCUUGAUAAACAAACUUGUACUAAGUUAAAUCGCAUAAUCAUUUCAUGACCAAAGAAUCAUUGUGGAAACUAUGGAAAGUCUGUAGAUUUACACUGUAUUAACCACUGUUACUACAUUGUUUUUGUUUUUUUUAUAUGAAUAUAUUGUUAUUCUUUUUUUUUAUAUGAAUGCAUCCUAAUUUGUUAUAUAAUGGAUGCAUUAUAUCCAAAUAAAAUCUGUUAGUCUUUACACUUCUUUUUGCUUCUUGCUUUUUUUCCCCCUCCAUGGACUAAGGAAAAAAUGUCUUAAAUGGACCUUGUAGUCACUUUUAUAUUAGUAAAAUAAAAAAAGAGACACAAAAGGCCUACUUGUUUAUUCAUUUUAUGCAUAUAAGAGUCAAAACAAAACGAAUAAAACCAGAUCAGUCAAAAUAAGCCAAAUACAUCAAAAGAACAGAAGUAAAACAAAACAUUUGGGAGUUGAGUGUUUGUCUCUUACUCUAUAAAACACUCUUGGAGUUUUCAGACUGUCUCAGCAUUACUCUCUUUACAUCUCACUUUAGCGCAGUGCAAAACUUUAUCUUUUUUACACUACUCACACUGGGUUUUUUUUUUUACAUACUUAUAUUGCAUAUUUUAUUUUGUAAAUUCUCUUCUUAUUGCACUUACUUUAUUCUAUUUUCACCGUAUUUGUUUUUCCUCCACUAGAACAAAUGGUUGCGUGCUUGUAGGAUGGAAUUAUCAUUGUAAACAGCGGAGGCCACAGCAAGGUCAAAUAUUUUUGCUUUUCUUGAAUAGCUUCCUUCCUGUUUCUCACACAGAUAUGUCACACAUUAAUGUUCUGGAACUCAAGGACCAUUUUCUGGCUCGCAGUUGUGUGAAGAAGCUCUUUCAAAAUACAGAUGUUUACAUAUUAGACCACAAGACACUAUUAUAACUGAAUGUACACAAACAAACCCGUUCAAAAGUCUACAUAUGCUUGAUUCUUAAUACUGUGUGUUGUUUCCUGGAUGAUCAACGACUGUUUUGAUUUUUGUGAUGUCUUGUGGUAGAUUGUUCAAAAAACAUUAAUUAAGCACGAACAUUUUCUGUUUCACAGGGCUAUAAAUAUGAGGUAACACAUAGGCCAAAUUUCCUUAGUCAUUCAUAACCUUUUAAACAUAUUUGUUUCCAAAACUUCAAACACUGACAGAGUCGAAAAAGAUGACACAUUGUAUCAUAAAUGCUUUUUAAGACAUUAGUAGUGUGUUGUCUUAGUCAGUCUAAUGAUACCAAGUUAGACCAAACAAACACAAUGACUACAUUUACAUGCACAUCAAAUUCCAUUUAAGGUCUAUAUUCAGCAUAGUUGGGUAUAACGUGUUACAAAGUAACUGUAUUCUGUAUUCUAAUGACUUUUUCUGAUAACGCAUAAUGUAUGGCAUUACAUUUUAAAUAAAGUGAUUUUUUCUUUAACCCAGGAUAAUUCUCCAUUUGGAGAGGUUUGUCACUAUGUAACUGAACGUCGGUAAAAGAAGUCCGCCUGUAAUUUCAUAUCUUCAGUGAACGGAGGCGAGGCCAAUCAGACGGGGUUUACAGGAAAAUAUGUGGAAACACUCCAAUCGUGUCGUAUUGGCUGACAGUCUCUCAAAUCAGACAAACGUUAGCUCACACAUUCAGUGUGAGGAAAAAUGGAUAUAGGCUGAUUUAUUUAUCUUUUUUAAUCCAGUAAAGGGGUUGAAACUGAAACAGUUACAUCCUCUGAUGCUGAGCAGGAAAACAAGCUGUUCCACCCCAUCAGACCACAUCCCACUGUGAAUAAUUCAUAGUACUCCAAACACCCACACCACAUUCCCAAUAAAGCCUUACUCACACAGCCAGUGCACACACACAAACACACGCACGCAGAUAAAAACGACUGCAAGAUGGAAGGAAAAGCAACUGUGCCUACUGGUGUAUCCAAUGCACCCACAUACCUGGCUUGGUCCAUCUUUAACACAAUAUUCUGCUGUACUCCUCUUGGAAUCAUCGCCAUUGUGUUCUCCUGCCGAACUGACACGGCUAAUCUUAUUGGUGAUGCUGCGAGAGCUAAUGCGCAUUCCAGUUUGGCCAAGAAACUGAAUAUCGCCGCACUGGUCAUCGGAAUAAUAUUUUUAAUCUUUUUCAUCAUCAUUACAUCAUUGUAUCUACAGACCUAACGACACAUUACAAGGCAGUGGAUCCAAAUCAUACUCCCCAUUACGGUUAUAUAAGUGUCAUAGUAAAUGUAAACACUCUCUGUAAUUAACAAGUUGUUUGUUUGAUUGUUUGUUUUAUUCCAUUUCAUUCUUGAUAAACAAACUUGUACUAAGUUAAAUCGCAUAAUCAUUUCAUGACCAAAGAAUCAUUGUGGAAACUAUGGAAAGUCUGUAGAUUUACACUGUAUUAACCACUGUUACUACAUUGUUAUUUUUUUUAUAUGAAAAUAUUGUUAUUCUUUUUUUUUUAUAUGAAUGCAUCCUAAUUUGUUAUAUAAUGGAUGCAUGAUAUCCAAAUAAAAUCUGUUAGUCUUUA